AGAAGAAGAAGGUAGAGAGCGAAGAAAGCAAAAAAGAGCAAAAAAUCUACAACCUGCAAAUCUUAAUCCCUCCAAAGAUCCUUCCUCUUUAAAAAUAAAAUAUAAAAAUAUUUUCUUUAGGUUCUUAGGUUUUGUCAAGUUUUUGUAAAGUUACUUUGGAAGUCGUUCGGGUUUUCCGAAAGGGAAACUUCACUCUAUUCUAGAUAAUGUACAAUAAAUGGAGUUAUUAUUUGUAAGAAUUGAUUGUCGUGGUGAAUGGGUAGACAAGACAAAUCGAUUCAUUUGGUGUUGGAAGGAUAGUAAUAAACAAGGAGCCCAUUCAGUAGGGAUGUAUGUCAAAAGAAAUAUUUUGCAUGAUGAUUUCUUCAAUUUAGUCGUGAAUAAGUCUAGGUAAAAUUGUCAACUGGAAGAUCUUGUCAUGAGUUACAUUCCCCAUUUUUUCAUAAUGAGAAGAUUUUACCGUUUAGAAUAAUUGGUCAACCUAGUUUGCUUGUUUAGUUGGUAGGAGCAGUCACCCAUAUUAAGAGAUUACGCGGAAGAAAAUCCUAUCAGGAUGAUCCUAAUGUAGACGAACGCCAAAAAGAUAUGUUAAAUGAUGAAUUUGAUCCCAUGGAUAUGAAUAAUCCCGAUGAUGAAAUUGGAAUAGGUGAAAAUGAAGGGUUGGACCUUGAGAGCAACAUUCUUCCUACACCUAUAGUUGGCAACAACAUUCAUGCGCUUCUCAAUCAUCACGCGUGAAUAAUGUUCGAGAUGAUGACACACAUUGUUAUAAAGGAAUGACAUUCAAGAACAAGAUAGAACUGGUAAAUUCAUUGAAAAUUUCUUGCUUGAAAAAAAUAUUUCAGACUGAAAAAGGUGAUCAAUUCUUGUAAUGUGUUUUCUUUUUAAAUGUUCAUAUAUGAAUUGCAAUUGGUGACUGAAGGCUGUGAAAUUUACAAGUAGCAACAGGUUUACCAUUAGUAUCUACGAAAAAUACCAUACGUGUGGUUCAAAGCAUGUUACAAGCCAUAAUCCCCAUGUCAUAACAAAAGUCAUAGGGAAGUAGAUUUCCCAAUGGUAAAGGCCCAUCCACAAGAGACGUGUCAAAUCAACUCUGGACAGAAUUGGGUAUAAGGUAAGUUAUUGGAAGAUUUAUAAGGGCAUGGAGAAUACUAAAUCUAAUGUCAGGGGAACACAUGAGCACGAGUAUGUAGUGCUUAAUGCGUAUUGUUGUAUGCUUGAAGUUGCAAAUCCAGGAAGCAAGACGGUAUUGUCGCUUGAUGAAAAUGGGAGGUUCUUGGAUAACUGGUUUUCAAGAAAUGAGAAAAGUAAUAGUCAUUUAUGGCACAUUCCUGAAGAGAAGUGUGGAGGAGUUUUCUUAUCGGCGGUAGAACAAGAUGAUGAGAAUCAUAUAUUUUCAUUGGCUUUUUGUGUCGUAGACAUGGAAUGUGAUACCUCAUAAGGAAAAAAAAUUAAAAUAUGAGAAGCUUUGUAGAUGGUACUAAUGAGUUAUGCAUUAUUUCUAAUAGGCAUCAAGUAUUCGAAAGAUGGUUACGAGAAUCUACCUUGCAUCUCAUUUUACCUAAUACACCUUAGGAAAAAUAUUCUAAAUAACUUUCACAGUUCAAAGGUAGUGUCCCGUUUUUAUAAAGUAACAAAGGCGUAGGAUAGAGGUGAGUUCAAUGAUCAUUUCAAUCAAAUAAGAGAUUUGGUACCAAAGGCGGCUAAAGUUCUUGAACGUAUUGGAUUCGAUACAUGGAGUAAGGCAUUUUCCCAGGAAAAGGAGAUUUGCAUUGUCAUUUCACCAGAGGCGUAUGGAGUUGGUGCACUCUGCAAAUAGAUUUGUUCCCUCGAUUGAAAAAGACAUAUCAGAGUAUGUCAACUGAGGCAACAAGUUGUUGGCUCAUCAAAUCGCUAACUACAAGUUCAGUGUUACUGGUCAUGGUGAUGCUUCUACUACAAAUCUACAAAAAAGAAAUUGUACUUGUAGAAUUUUUGACUUGACAAAAUACCUUGUCCACAUGCCAUGGCAGCGCUUUGAUCUCAACAUGGUGCCGAUUUUAGAAAACAAAUUUAUGUGUACUUUUUUCCAUAUUAUUCUGUGGAAAAAUACAUAAUGGCAUAUUGUCAGGAA